rnacentral:rRNA from 1 species
GUAGGGUGCGAGCGUUAAUCGGGAAUUACUGGGGCGUAAAGCGUGCGCAGGCGGUUGUGCAAGACAGAUGUGAAAUCCCCGGGGCUCAACCUGGGAAUUGCAUUUGUAACUGCACGGCUAGAGUGUGUCAGAGGGGGGUAGAAUUCCACGUGUAGCAGUGAAAUGCGUAGAGAUGUGGAGGAAUACCGAUGGCGAAGGCAGCCCCCUGGGAUAACACUGACGCUCAUGCACGAAAGCGUGGGGAGCAAACAGGAUUAGAUACCCUGGUAGUCCACGCCCUAAACGAUGUCAACUAGUUGUCGGGUCUUAAUUGACUUGGUAACGCAGCUAACGCGUGAAGUUGACCGCCUGGGGAGUACGGUCGCAAGAUUA